rnacentral:rRNA from 1 species
GAUGAACGCUGGCGGCGUGCCUAAUACAUGCAAGUCGAGCGAACGGACGAGAAGCUUGCUUCUCUGAUGUUAGCGGCGGACGGGCGAGUAACACGUGGAUAACCUACCUAUAAGACUGGGAUAACUUCGGGAAACCGUAGCUAAUACCGGAUAAUAUUUUGAACCGCAUGGUUCAAAAGUGAAAGACGGUCUUGCUGUCACUUAUAGAUGGAUCCGCGCUGCAUUAGCUAGUUGGUAAGGUAACGGCUUACCAAGGCAACGAUGCAUAGCCGACCUGAGAGGGUGAUCGGCCACACUGGAACUGAGACACGGUCCAGACUCCUACGGGAGGCAGCAGUAGGGAAUCUUCCGCAAUGGGCGAAAGCCUGACGGAGCAACGCCGCGUGAGUGGUGAAGGUCUUCGGAUCGUAAAACUCUGUUAUUAGGGAGGAACAUAUGUGUAAGUAACUGUGCACAUCUUGACGGUACCUAAUCAGAAAGCCACGGCUAACUACGUG